AUGGCAGGUUUGGUUUUUGCAGGACUCGAGGAGGUGACCACGGCGUGCUGCGGCUCCGGCAAGUUCGACGGCAAGUCGGGUUGCACGCCCAACGCCACGCUGUGCGACAGCCGGCACAAGUACCUCUUCUGGGACCUGCUGCACGCCACGUCCAAGCUCGCCGCCGCGGCCAUCUACAACGGCUCGCCGCACUUGGCAGCGCCCAUAAAUUUCAGGCAGCUAGCGGAGGACCAGUGCUAG
rnacentral:rRNA from 1 species